GAUGAAGAACGCAGCGAAAUGCGAUACGUAAUGUGAAUUGCAGAAUUCAGUGAAUCAUCGAAUCUUUGAACGCAUAUUGCGCUCUUUGGUAUUCCGAAGAGCAUGCUUGUUUGAGUAUCAGUAAACACCUCAACCUCUUCUUGAUUUUUCAAAAGGAGGGUGGACUUGAGCUAUCCCAACAACCUUUACCGGUCGGCGGGCGGCUUGAAAUGCAGGUGCAGCUGGACUUUUAUCUGAGCUAAAAGCAUAUCUAUUUAGUCCUCGUCAAACAGGAUUAUUACUUUUGCUGCAGCUAACAUAAAGGAUAAUUGUCCUCUUUGCUGACUGAUGCAGGAUUUUACGACACUUUAUGUGUUGUUCAACUCGAUCUCAAAUCAAGUAAGACUACCCGCUGAACUUAAGCAUAUCAAUAAGCGGAGA
rnacentral:misc_RNA from 1 species